CUCGACUGCAUCUCUUUUAGAUAGUAAAUCCCGUGCAAAAUUGCUUCGGCUUCUGCGUGUGGUGCCGAAGAAACCCUAGAUUUAGCGGCGAAGCCGUCGACGGCACACCCAGCUCCAUCCCGUGCUAUUCCGGCGAUCGAGCAGAUGAACUCACCUGGAACCCAUGACGCGUCAACAUUCAUCUUCAUCUCCCAACUGUUCGGUGGCUUCCAGCGCUCCGGUAGGUAUCGAUUUGGGUUUUCUACUUUCUGAUUCUUCUUCCCUCGGCUGAAAGUAAUGGUUUGGGUUUGUGCGAGAUCGAGGAUAUUCGCGGGUUGUGGGCGCUUUGCUCUGAAGAUCCAAGUGUUCCGAGCCUUCCAGAUCUACCAAAGAACCGCUCCGAUGAACUCCCGUGCAGGGGGAUUGCUAAGAUCUCAUUUGCUAUGUUUUCCUCAAAAAACUGUUGAAUUAUUGGCUGAUUCCAAGCUCGAGAAUUUUCAUUGAUCGACCUGCCACCAUAGUAGGUUCUUGUAUCAAACUCUGCCAGCCCCAUGAUGAUCGUUGGCCCUUCUGAGCUGUCCAGAGAUCGCCAUGUGGAAAAUAGAUACCUUUUAAGACUUUGCCCCACAGUGCAUUUGGAGAAUUGUAUAAUCUCCAUGCUUGUUUACCAAGCAUUGCAUGAUUGAAGAUGGACACUGGCAACUUAAAGAUCGACAUUGCAUAGGUUGGUAUGGCCUAUACCACACUUUUGAUCAAAACUUCCUUUCCUGCUUUGGCACUCUCAAUUCUUGGGCCAUAUUUCUUCUUAGUGGUAAGGGACUAUUCUUGCUGAAAUAAACCCCUGACUUGUUUAAAUUGACAGCUUGCCCCGAGGCGUAACAAUACUGUUUAAGUGUAAGUAUCAUAUUUUGACAUUCCACUAUGGUACCAUCCAGGAAGAAGAUAAUAUCAUCCGCAAAAAGAAGAUAUGGUGACAGGGGAUCACCUUGUCUGAGACCUCUCGAGGGGUUGAAAAAAGGGGUAGGUUCUCCAUUAAGCUUCACACUGAAUGUCACCGUUGUUAUGCAUUGCAUUAUUAGGGCCACCCAUUUCCCAGAGAAACCCAUUUUCAGCAUAAAAUCCCGAACAAAAUCCCAUUCAAUUCUGUCAUAUGCUUUAUGCAUAUC